rnacentral:rRNA from 1 species
UAGUCAUAUGCUUGUCUCAAAGAUUAAGCCAUGCAUGUCUAAGUAUAAGCAACUUUGUACUGUGAAACUGCGAAUGGCUCAUUAAAUCAGUUAUAGUUUAUUUGAUGGUUUUUGCUACAUGGAUAACUGUGGUAAUUCUAGAGCUAAUACAUGCAUUCAAGCCCCGACUUCCGGAAGGGGUGUAUUUAUUAGAUAAAAAUCAACUUUGUUGGUGAAUCAUAAUAACUUCUCGGACCGCAUGGCCUCGUGCUGGCGGUGCUUCAUUCAAAUAUCUGCCCUAUCAACUGUCGAUGGUAGGAUAGAGGCCUACCAUGGUUGCAACGGGUAACGGGGAAUAAGGGUUCGAUUCCGGAGAGGGAGCCUGAGAAACGGCUACCACAUCCAAGGAAGGCAGCAGGCGCGCAAAUUACCCAAUCCCAACACGGGGAGGUAGUGACAAUAUGUAACAAUAUACGGCCUUAUACGUCGUAUAAUUGGAAUGAGUACAAUUUAAAUCCCUUAACGAGGAACAAUU